ensembl:lncRNA
UCCUGACCUGAAGCAGAGAGCCUACAGAGGUCGACGAGGAAGUGUUGCAGAAUGCAGCUGGUUCACCUGUGCACACUGCUGCUCAUCAGCUCAGUGCUGAGUCUCCCAGUGGCAGACAGAGACCUGGACAAAGAGUUUGAAGAAUGGAAGAAGAAGUAUGACAAAGUGUACAGCACACCGGAGGAAGAGGCGGAGCUCAGGGCCAUCUGGGAGGAGACACGUAAAUGGGUGGAGGCCCACAACAAGGAAGCUGAGCAGGGUCUGCACACGUACACGCAGGGCCUGAACCAGUUCAGUGACC